GGGAGGUACAUUUCUUCUAAAGCUAAAUAUUGGCCAGAGACCGAUAGGGAACAAGUAGAGUGAUCGAAAGAUGAAAAGCACUUUGGAAAGAGAGUCAAACAGCACGUGAAAUUGUUGAAAGGGAAGCGCUUGCAGCCAGACUUGCUUACAGUUGCUCAUCCGGGUUUCUACCCGGUGCACUCUUCUGUAGGCAGGCCAGCAUCAGUUUGGGCGGUAGGAUAAAGGUCUCUGUCACGUACCUCCUUUCGGGGAGGCCUUAUAGGGGAGACGACAUACUACCAGCCUGGACUGAGGUCCGCGCAUCUGCUAGGAUGCUGGCGUAAUG
rnacentral:rRNA from 1 species